rnacentral:rRNA from 1 species
CCUACGGGUGGCAGCAGUGAGGCAUAUUGGUCAAUGGCCGGAAGGCUGAACCAGCCAAGCCGCGUGAAGGACGAAGGUGCCAAGCAUUGUCAACUUCUUUUGUCAAGGGACAAACUCAGGCUCGAGAGCCUGACCGAGGGUACUUGAAGAACAAGCAUCGGCUCACUCCGUGCCAGCAGCCGCGGUACUACGGGGGAUGCGAGCGUUAUCCGGAUUUAUUGGGUUUAAAGGGUGCGUAGGCGGGCUGUUAAGUCAGCGGGAAAAGCACGUGGCUCAACCCCGGCGAGCCGUUGAAACUGGCUGUCGUGAGAGGGCGAGAGGGAGGCGGAAUGCGCAGUGUAGCGGUGAAAUGCGUAGAUAUUGCGCAGAAAUCCGAUUGCGAAGGCAGCAUACCGGCGGCGAGCUGACGCUGAGGCACGAAAGCGUGGGUAUCGAACAGGAUUAGAUACCCGUGUAGUC